AAAUCCUAGCUCCACUUUAACUAGUAAUGUGGCCUAGAGUUAGUUAUUUUGUGUCUGAGUUUGUUUCCUUUUCUGUAAGAAGUAGAGAUGGAGAGCAGACUAAUGGCAAUUCCAAUGGUCUUGUACCGAUGCUGAGAGUAUAUAACAACACAGCUCGAUAUGUGGAUCAAGGUGGGAACAAGCGUCCUGGGGCAUUUGCUAUUUACCUGGAGCCUUGGCAUUUAGACAUCUUUGAAUUCCUUGAUUUAAAGAAGAACACAGGAAAGGAAGAGCAGCGUGCCAGAGAUCUUUUCUUUGCUCUUUGGAUUCCGGAUCUCUUCAUGAAACGAGUGGAGACUAAUCAGGACUGGUCUUUGAUGUGUCCAAAUGAGUGUCCUGGUCUGGAUGAGGUUUGGGGAGAGGAAUUUGAGAAACUAUAUGCAAGUUAUGAGAAACAAGGUCGUGUCCGCAAAGUUGUAAAAGCUCAGCAGCUUUGGUAUGCCAUCAUUGAGUCUCAGACGGAAACAGGCACC
rnacentral:sRNA from 1 species